UACGAAGGGUGCAAGCGUUACUCGGAAUUACUGGGCGUAAAGCGUGCGUAGGUGGUUCGUUAAGUCUGAUGUGAAAGCCCUGGGCUCAACCUGGGAAUGGCAUUGGAAACUGGCGACCUAGAGUGCGGUAGAGGGUAGUGGAAUUCCCGGUGUAGCAGUGAAAUGCGUAGAGAUCGGGAGGAACAUCCGUGGCGAAGGCGACCACCUGGACCAGCACUGACACUGAGGCACGAAAGCGUGGGGAGCAAACAGG
rnacentral:rRNA from 1 species